rnacentral:rRNA from 1 species
UACGUAGGGUGCAAGCGUUAAUCGGAAUUACUGGGCGUAAAGCGUGCGCAGGCGGUGAUGUAAGACAGGUGUGAAAUCCCCGGGCUUAACCUGGGAACUGCAUUUGUGACUGCAUCGCUGGAGUGCGGCAGAGGGGGAUGGAAUUCCGCGUGUAGCAGUGAAAUGCGUAGAUAUGCGGAGGAACACCGAUGGCGAAGGCAACUCCC